GGUUACAGGGCCAGCAAAGGAUCCAAGCAAGACCAGUCAGAGUCCUUUUCAGAGAUUGAAACAGACCAAUCCUGGGAGAAAGAAAGAAUCUCUCCUCUUCUGGGACUGUAAGCGUUGUGGUAGACAGUUAUUCUCAGUAACCCAGAAUCUAAACCACCAUCAGGUUUCAGGAAUUCACCACCUUAAAGGAAGAACCAAAACACCCUUCUUUCUGUAAGCCCCAUGAGAAGCUCAUCCAGGCUGGUCCUGGGCAAAGCUGGAAGGGAGAGAACCUAAAGAUCUGGCCCAUCUGUCCUUCACUGCCGGCUUCCCUGCAGUCCUUUUCCAGAAACCACACCCCACAUUCUCAGCCUAUCAACAGCGUCCUGGUGACCAGGUACAUUCUCAUUCUAUCAUGAGAUUGCUGAAAACUAAAGAAGGCAUCAAGACCCCCACAUGAAUUUCUACUGAUACAAUUUCAGACCUGUGCAGGAAAAUAUUUAAGACAGAAAACGCUUUCUCGAGAGGGUGCCUUCAAAGUUCCCGGAGCUCUUGUCCCUCAGCUGACUCUCACAAACCUGAAACCAAGUGACCCGGCAGCUGCGGGCUCCUCCAUUGACUCAGGCUUCAUCAGAGAGCACCAUAAGUGCCGUAUCUCCUGCUUCAGACCACCUGAGGACCAUUCUACCUGUAUUAUUCAUCUGCUAGGGCUGCCAUAACAGAAUAUCACAAUCCUAGCACAUAAAAUAUGGAAGAGGUCCUCCACAAUGGAGAAAACUAUUGGGGAUAUGCCUUCUGGAGUUUGAUCAAGGAAGAUGGACACAAACAGAAAAGAAAAACAGUCCAGAGGAAGCUGAAGGGUCUCCUACAUUGCACCAGAUGCUGCAGAUGGGGAGGACCAUUCCACUGGAUGCAUUCGGGACUGUAAACAGCAGACUGUGAGUGCGGCAGGCAGGGAUCACCCAGGCUUGACAACUCAACAGAGUUGUUCACUUUGAGGGAAGCUAGUUGCCUUGCCAUGAAGACACUCAAGCAACCACACAGAUAGGUUGAUGGCAAGAUGGAAGAAGCUGAGGCCUCCAGCCAAUAGCCAUAUGAAUGAGCCAGCUUGAGCCAAAGAUGCACUGUCUUAGAGCGGACCCUAGAGCCCCUGUCAAGCUUUCAGACAAUGAAGCACCGACUGACACUUUGACUGCAACCUCAUGAAAGACCCUGGGCCAAAACCACCCAGCUAAGCUGCCCCCAGAUUCCUGACCCUCAGAACUUAUGAGAUCAUAAAUGUUUGGAGCUUUAACUUUAAACACACAUAUUCACAUACACAAUAACAAAAUUCCUAAGACUAAUUUCUGAGAUAAAGGGCCCAAAACAGCCCCUCAGAGAUUUGUCCUAGCAGGGAGUCUAGUCUGAACACCAAAACAAUGUUUUAUAAUCAUGUUUUGUUGGCUCAUUUUCCAGUGUCAGCAACCCCCAAAAUGGGUUCAAGAAUUAACACACCCUUAGAGCUAGGUUCACUGGUAUGCACCCUGCAGUCCCAGCUACUCAGGAGGCUGAGGCAGAAGGACUGCUUGAGCCUAAGAGUUCUGGGCUGUAGUGUGCAAUGAUCAUGCCUGUGAAUAGCCACUGCACUCCAGCCUGGGCAACAUAGUGAGAUCAUGUCUCAAAAAAAGAAUUAACACAUCCCUCCCUUCCUGCAGCCUUCCUGGAUCUAAUCAGAAGGGGAAUGGCAAGUGCUGGGGCAGUGUGGGUGUGCUUUUUUAACCAUAAACUCAUUGUUAGGUGCUGGCACCUCAUAUCAGAUCAUUCUGAUCCUGAGCUAUUCACCAAGCUUGUAUUUAAGUGCCUUACACCUACAUGCUUUCUACCCAUAAUAAAGACAGCUUCCAUUGAUCUCCAGUCUCUAGGAGCCUCUCAGAGUUUGCAAGGAACCUGGGUUGGCCUCUGUGGUUUGUGAGUAUGACAUUCAUGCUAUUUACACUAUUGGGCCAUUGCCUCUAUCCUACUCUGUUGAGAUUCCUAGGAAUUUACACAAACAGGUGUCAAAGAUGAACCAUGUUUGGCCCCAAAGAAAGCAAGGUAAAUGAAAGAAGAUUCUCAUUAUUCAGACAAGAAACUGAAAUAUCUGACACAACUGGACCCUCUUGCAUGGCAACUAUAAGCGGGAACUGAGUCGCAGCUGCCCCAUUAGGGAGCUAAUCCUCAUCUGUAAAUACUGAAAAAGCAACUAACCUGGAGGGAACAAGGUUCUCAACUUUGUGGAAGCUGAGAUGAUGCCCUUUUCAUGGCUCAUCAUUUUAAUAUUGGCACAUGCCUGGCCCAUAAUAAGCAUUCAAGUAGCACUGACUGACUAACUGAAUGAAUGAAUAAAUGAAUUAAUGCUCAAAUGAAUAAAUAAAUGGUGCAAAAGGUGGUGGCCUUUUUUUUUUCAUUAGGGCUAUGAUGGCUGCUGAAGAAGGUGUAGGCUUUGAGGUUGGGAAGAUAUGAGUUCAAACCCUAGUUUUUAAUCCCAGCUCUGCCUUCCCUUGCCAGAUGUCUUUGAACAAGCAGUUCCUCUGAGCUUUGGUAUCCAUGUUGGCCUAACAGAAAUAAUACUAUCUAUGCCUCAUAGGGAAGCUGUGAAGAUUAUAUGAGAAAAUGUUCAAGGCCUCAUACAAAGGAGGUACCCAAUAAAGAGUAGCUAAUUAAAAAGUCGUUCACAAGGGAAGUCGGACACAGUGGUCAUGCCUGUAAUCUCAGCACUCUGUGAGACCAAGGUGAGCAGAUUGCUUCAGCUCAGGAGUUCGAGACCAAGCUGGGCAACAUGGCAAAACCCCGUCUCUACUAAAAAC
rnacentral:lncRNA from 1 species